UGGAUUCUUGUUAAUGCAUCUGUCGCCAUUUUGUGCUUCUUGGAUUGCAUGGUACUGGUUUAUCUGAUCAAAGUGUGUAACUCCUCGACUGAAUAACUGCAUUGUGUUGUAUCCAAGAUAGGUACCGUAUUCGGCAACUGGUAAUGUAAGUGACAGUUCCAUUAUAAUAUUUUUGUUUACCUUUCUUAUCUUUAAACGUUACGAUAAUACAGCUUAAGGCUAGAGACAUUGAACUUUGAUAACAUGCAUACUGCUGUAAAUAAACUGGUGAUCCAGAUGACCGAUUCUCCAUCAACUCUCUUAUCUGUGAUAGCCUAGGAUCUUCACUUUGUGUAUUAUGAACGUUCUUGGGUAUUAAAAUAUUUUUGUAAAUCCUAGAAUCAACUUUCGCAGUAUAUGGUAUGCCCUCAUUCAUCAUAAUAUUGACAACAUAUUCUUUAAUUGACAUCAUAGUCAUACCAAAAAUCAUCACAAAGUAAAUCAGCAUUUUCAUUACAUUCUCCAUAACAUAACCUGUUAAUAAACAACAAUCAUAUACUCCCGUUUUCAAUAAGCAACUCAUUCUUUCUGUCAAUUUGAUUGCACACUUUUUAUCAUCCCGUAAUUUCAUAUAAUAAUUUCUUCUUUUAUCAUCACAACCUAGUCUUGAAUCUGUUAUUAAAUUUUCAUUGUUUUUAAGCCUGUUCCUUUUGUUUAUCCCGUAGCUGCAAUCACAGCAGUAAGCUGCUUGCUUAAACCGCGUGUGCUUCGGGUGCAUGUUGGUCCCAUUACUCACUUCAUCCUGGUGCCGGUACUCCUCCUCAUAAGUUACUUCUCUACAACGGCCGUAAGGUUCCUGUGCAUGUUUCUUGUGGUGUUUGAACCUUGGAUGGGGGCGAUAUCCUCGUUUGCGGGGCCUUCCUCGUUGCUUCCUCCUAUGGGCCUUCCUGUGUUGGAUCCAAUGCUUCACUCUGAUGUCGUCCUGUCGGUCACACAUCCUGUUUUCCUUGGUGGCGGUUUGCUCUUUGAAUUUAGUGUGCCGCAGGUGGAUCCAAUGAUGAUUGAGCGUAGGUGAGGCAUGUGGCUGUUCAAACUUGGGGUGCUGUGGGGAGGUUGAAUGCUGGUGCACAGGUUCAGUGUAUGACUGUGGUACAUCAUUUUUUGUUUUUAUUAUUGGUAACUCCUUAAUUAUUUCUGUGUUAAUAUUGUAGAUUGUUUUUGGUGGUGGGUUGGUUGCUAGUGGUAGAUCUUCAGGGGGGAAUAGUAGAUUUAAUAUGGGUUGCUUUUCAUGGAUUGGUUUUGAUGCAUGCUUAGUUUCUUUAUUUAGUGGUGGGUUGUUGUGGUGGUUGAUUUGUUCUGGUUGUUGGUUUGUUUGUAUUGGAUGUGCCACUGUAUAGAAUGAUGUAUUGAUUCUAUUGUGAUUUUUAUUAUGUUCGUCCUGUUUCCUGAAAUCUACAUCCUGUUUAUUACAUGUAUUUCUAUUCCAAUGAUAUCUGUUGUCAUAAUGUGCUUCUUUAUGAUACCGUUUACUGUUUUGAUACUGAAACCUGUUUCUGCAAUUACUACCAAAUGUCUGACCUCUGUCGGUGUUCUCUGCAUACUUUGCACUUCGCACAUUUGCUCCAGCAUUUGCUAAAUGAUUUUCAUUAUUAUCAUUUUUUCUGAAAUUAUUAUUUUGUUGAGAGUGAUUAAAAUUUCCUGCUCGAUUAUUUAUGUGAUUUGGCUCAGAAGUAACUGAUUGAAUGUGGUGCAAAUGUUGUAUCAAUUCUUUGCAACUAGAGAUAGGUGGCACAGCUAAUGUCAUGCGAACACAAAAAGGAAGUUUUCUAAAUAAUAUGUGAGCCAGUGAUGAGUCGGCUAGAGAUUCGUCCAGUUGAGAAUUUCUAUUUAUAAAAUCUGUCACAAACUCAGUAUAAGAUUGUCCAUUUCCACUAUCAUAGGUGCAUAAAAUAAUCUCUGAUAGUGCAUCCAAUUGUUUAUGCUUGCUCCAAUAUUGUUGCAGGAACUGGGAGAGGAAAUCGUCCAGACUCUUAAGGUCCUGCAUCUGGUUCUGGAAGAACAUCAGCGGUUCACCGAGUAGGAGACUAGACAAUUGAAAGCGCCAUACUAGCCAAGAGGUUGGUGGCGAUGGAUGACGGUUGGCUGGCCACAUCGGGCGGCGAUUGGGUGGCGGCAUUUCCUGUUCCAUCAGCAGUGUUUGGAGCGGUCUGCGGAGACGUCAGUAAUGGGUUGGACGCCCUCACUCCUUCAUCUCCACCAGCUGGACUCCCAUCGGUAUUCAUGUCGUCGAUGGCAUUAUCAAUUCCAGUGGAGGAUAAUUGGGCCAGGUUUUGUGAGUCGAAAUUGGUGGAGCAUAAGCUGCCUCCUUCUCUCACCUGUGGGGUCUCCGCUACAUUGUCCCUGGGUUGCUGAUCAGCCGGUGUCAUGUUCGUAGGGUAUUGGGGAUGGUCACUAAAGUAGGUGUCCCUGGGUUGCUGAUCAGCCGGUGUCAUGUUCGUAGGGUUUUGGGGAUGGUCACUAAAGUAGGAAAUUUGUGAAUUAGCCGGAGACUGGUUCAUGGUGACAAUAUUAUGUGGGAUACUUUGAAUAAGUUGCCAAGUGUACUACCAAAUUUCAGGAAUACUAAAAUGAACUUAUUGACAGUGCCUAUUUCAGAUAAAAUUGUGUGGUGUCAAAAAUUUCAAGUGUCAUGUACAUAAAAUACAUAUACAUAGACCAUCAAUGUGACUCAGGUAUGGCAGUAAACAUAGAGAAAAUUACCAUUAAUAUAGCUCUUGAGACUUUAAGUAGGGCCUUAUCUUCCUUAAUAUCAAUAAUAUUCUUAUAUUUAAAAUAGCCUAUAACCCUGGUCAGCAUACAAUAUUCAGAUUUAAAAAUCAAGAUCAAAAAUUUUGCAAUAAAUUACAGGAAAUUUCUAUCGAAUUUUUCUCUAUUAUUGAGAAUUAUGUUAUCAAACUUGUGUGAUACAGUUUGUCUGCAUUUAUGCAGCUUGAAAGAUUUCAACUUGAUGAGUAACUCAAUUAUUUUAGCCAGAAACUUAUAGAUCAUCAGAUAUACCUUGUUGAAUCAACUUCUGAUUUUGCUUCUUGCAGCUUCCAGUUUUAUUAACAAUUUUAUUCAGCAUUAAUAGUAAAGUUGAGUAGGUAAGCUUUUCAUCAUGCCUCACGCUUGUGGUGCCAUUCUUAUGUGGUGUGAUAUAUUGAUAUCCUUGUUGGGUGAUAUUCAUACAAGAAAUAGUAUAUUGGAUAUAUACUGGAGCAGUUGCUAAGAUCCUAGCUUGCAAAUAAAUUUGCAAAAAGUUAAGGCUGUCCGGCUCGCAAAUAUGCUGGGUUCAGACCACAGCUCUAGCUCAGUAGUAGAGAUGCAUGAAUAUUCCAAAUAUAAUGAAUCACCAUAGGGUUUAAUAACUAAUGAUCAAUAAUUCUUACCGCUGCUUUUGUGAAGAUAUUGAAUAAUACC